rnacentral:lncRNA from 1 species
AAAUUGAAACAAAUUAGAACUAAAAUAAUAACUAAAUUAAUAACAAAACAAAAAAUUUACAAUAUCAAAAUAAUAUUAAAAACGACAACAUAUAACAUAAUAAAUAGCUGUAAAAGAACAAUAAAACACGACAAAAAAUAGCACCAAAACAGCACCCAAACAACACCAAAACAGCACCCAAACAGCACCAAAACUGCAGCAAAACAGCAGUGAGCUAG